UUUUUUUUUCUAGUACACAAAAGACCAAAGGAAAAAUCAGUGGGAUUAGGGAAAGAAAUCUGUAAACCUGUUCUUUCUGCACUGUGAGGCCUUUUUCUGUGGCCCUGAAGAUUUAAUAUUCUGCUAUUUGUCAUGCAAACAACACAGCAUUGUGAUGUGUAUUUGAGUAAAAAACAGUAAGCAUAGCAAGCAUGCAAACGCGUCAUGAUAGAAAUGCACAUUUGACGAUCACUGUGGACAGGACGUACUGAACAGGACACACCGUAAUAUCACUGAAGCAGCAUCUCAAUAACCCUGCAGAGUUUUAAAGGAUUCAGGAUUCCUGGGGCUGCGGGUAUGAUGCAUAUGCUGUACAGCAGCCGAGAGACGACCAGGAAUGGUGAAAAGGGAGUUCUUAUUUCUCUGAGGUAUGACCUCCUUCUCUCAUUAACUUAAUCAGAACAUAAGCGUAAGGGGCGAUUAUUUGCUCAUGCCACUGCACUUCUGUUGGCUUUAAGUCUGAAUGUUCUGUGAUGCAAAUAAAAAGAAAACAAUGGUGGGAACACUGCUUAAAGCAGAAAAUACAAUUGAUUUUCCCUGUUUUGGAGGGACAUAAAGGUAACAAUGGAUGCAGUUUUCAUCCAGAUGCAGUACAAAUAAUUAUGGCCCAUGGUACGACUAAUGAUGAAACAUUUUCUUCUUAGGACUUGACUAAUACAAUAUAAAAAUUUAGAUGUUGACAUAAAGCAAGUGCCAUCUAAAAUCCGAAGAAAAUUUAUCCUCAUAAAAUCCUGCACUACUAGUCACUUCAUUUGGGACAAAACUGGAACGUACCCUAAUUCUAUCCCCCAAAAAGACAAUGCACAAACAAUUCUCAGCUUGUGUAUAACUGUUACUGCAUUAAAGCAUCUGUUUGACUUUUUUCUAAAAUCAGAAUGUCUCCUUAAAUGCAUUUCUAGAAGACGCUGUAUUUGGUAAAAAUAAAUAAAUAAAAAUCUGAACACAGAUUAUUAAACUACUUUCAAAUCACGCACAGAACCAGAACAUUUUAGGGUUCAGGGUAUUUUCCCUUCUAAUUUGUCUUGUGGGUUCAGACGUUGACAGAAAGGGGAACAUUACAAUUUUCAAGUGACUAACAAACAGUUUAGUAAAACCCAAUUCUGGAACUACAGUGCAACUAAUACAUAUUACAGUUUGAAAAGUUUUUUAUAAGCCUACUUGCUAAUUUUUCCAGAAGGCUGUUUAAACCAAAACCAGUCAAGUACAUCUCAGGAAGCAGUUAAUUUAAAAAAAGAACAUCCUCAAAGUAGAACCAAUCAGAAGUUGUCAUAUCUAGGGCCUACCCAACCAUACAGUAGAGAAAGGAACACUUAGUAAUCUUGUUCACACAAUAGGUACACAAUAAAUGCAGACCCUUCUCUAUUGAGCUGAAGGUACAAAACGUUAAAGCUUCAAACAAAACAAAGAAAACCAUAAGAAUCCGCUGGAUUAGGUGCUACACAGCCUGCAGUGUUAAGAACUGUUUAGUAGUUCUGUGAUGCCAGAAAAUUACUAACAUAAGAAAUCUAUUUAACCCAUAGGAAAAUUAAGAACAACUAAGUAUCAGUAAAUUUUUUUUCUUAACUAAAAAACCAUCAUCAUCUUAUUCUCUGUUUAAAUUUUUGUUAACCCAACGUCUUACCAGCAGCUCUCUUGCUUUUACUCACACAUGGAAAUAGAGA
ensembl:lncRNA